rnacentral:lncRNA from 13 species
AUGGGGUUUAAACUCUCAUCCAAGAAGUUUCCUAGUCAUUCCACAGCAGCCAACUGGGGGAACAAGAAAUGCCCAACUUCAUGUGCUGGGCUCAAAGCCCUGGAAAGGAGAGGAGGAACUAUAAUCACCUGCAUGGUCAAGCACGUGGGCUCCAACAUGGGGACGUCCCCCAGGGGACACAGUACCCUCAAGCUUAUUAGAGAGAAAACACGUGCUGUCCCUCUAUUGCAAUCACUGCUGUGGUGGCAAAUGGACUCACUGGAGAAGCUGAAUCUGAAAAUGCAAAGCUGCCAGGUGAAGAGACCAGAGGCAGGUGAACGCAAGUCCGAGUCAGUGGGGCAAGGACUCGAAGUGAAGCAUGUCCCGGGAGCUUGCUUCCCUGGCAAAGGAAACCAACCAUCCAUCAGGCCUCCUAAGUGGUACUGGGAACUGAGGCUUUCCAGAUUACUGCCACUGGACAAUGAGGUGCACCUGCUGCUUGUUGACCAACUUCUUACUCCUGCCUCAUUCCUGUUUUCCCACAUGUGGUUACGAUGA